AUUGAACGCUGGCGGCAGGCCUAACACAUGCAAGUCGAACGAGUGGCGGACGGGUGAGUAAUGUCUGGGAAACUGCCCGAUGGAGGGGGAUAACUACUGGAAACGGUAGCUAAUACCGCAUACCAUCGGAUGUGCCCAGUUGGGAUUAUCUAGUAGUUGGGGUAACGGCUCACCUAGGCGACGAUCCCUAGCUGGUCUGAGAGGAUGACCAGCCACACUGGAACUGAGACACGGUCCAGACUCCUACGAGAGGCAGCAGUGGGGAAUAUUGCACAAUGGGCGCAAGCCUGAUGCAGCCAUGCCGCGUGUAUGAAGAAGGCCUUCGGGUUGUAAAGUACUUUCAGCGGGGAGGCGUUACCCGCAGAAGAAGCACCGGCUAACUCCGUGCCAGCAGCCGCGGUAAUAG
rnacentral:rRNA from 1 species